rnacentral:rRNA from 1 species
UCAAGGAAGAAGUUCUGACGGUACUUGAGGAAUAAGCAUCGGCUAACUCUGUGCCAGCAGCCGCGGUAAUACAGAGGAUGCAAGCGUUAUCCGGAAUCACUGGGCAUAAAGCGUCUGUAGGUUGCUUGUCAAGUCUGCUGUUAAAGAUCAGGGCCUAACCCUGGAAAAGCAGUGGAAACUAGCAAGCUUGAGUGUGGUAGAGGUAGAGGGAAUUCCUGGUGUAGCGGUGAAAUGCGUAGAUAUUAG